GAUGCUCCUUGGAGUGCAAUAGCAAAGAUAAAAGGGAAAUUUGAGCAGGGGUUUUCUUCAACUGGUCUAAUACUGAAUACUCUGGGAAUUUCAUCUUUUUCAAAAAUUCUUUGGCUUCUUCUUCGGUGAUAGGCUUUUUGAUAGAUGACGGUCCACUCACCGUUGGCUUGGACUUUCUUAAGCUUUCAGGCACGAAACAUCUUUCUGACCUGGUCAAACCCCUUACCUCAUCUACAUCUU
rnacentral:lncRNA from 1 species